rnacentral:lncRNA from 1 species
AUUUUUAGAAACCACAUGGCGGAUUUUCUUGAUUGAUUUGCGGCUUCUCUUUUUGCUGAAAUUAUGGGGGUCAUCACAGCCAUCGAGAUUGCGUCUUAUAAUGGGUGGAGAAAGUUAUGGAUUGAAUGCGAUGAAUAACACAAGAUUAGUGCCCGGAGAUUAGAAACCAUUGGAAAAACUCUUUGUAUUUAGCGAGAUCUAUGUCUUUCAUUCCGAGAGUUUUUGUAAAUGAUAGGAAUGCUAGGCCUAACUUUUGAGUCAGGUAGUUUUUCCUUUGCUCUGCCCAUGGGUCCGGUUUGG